CUGCAGCGCCCUCGGCCCCGGGCGUAGGCGGCGCGAGGGCGGGGCCGUAAGGCGAGCCGGAGCGGGAAUGCGGUCCGAGCUGGGCCGCAUCGGUUGUCAAGGGAACGGCGGCGUCGGUGGGUGUGACGUCACUGGCGGCGAGCUGGCCGCAGUGCGGCAAGGAGCAGACUGCGGGAACCGGGACUUCUGGCGGCUGCGUUGGCUGGCUGGCAGCUAAACUGCCAGCCCGCCCAUCUUGGCUUGGGAAGCCGCUUCGCACAGUCCCGACGUCGGCUCGGGUGGGACGGACUGUCGGCGUCCCUCCGCUCCCCUCCCCCGCCUGUCAAAGGGGUUGUGAAGGAGAUUUAAAAAAACGGAAUAGGUCACAGCUUUCAUUUGUUUCUCCACCUGUGGCUUCCAGGUUUCCGUGUCUCCGCAAACAGCUUUGCAUAUGUGACUUCCUGAUUGCAGAUCCAGUGAACUCCCCUCAAAACUGGCAGCAGUUCGUGGUAUCACACAGUGUAGAUCCCUUCCUCCUUAAAACUCUUUUCCCUUUAGUUCCUUCUCCCAGUUUAUCACCUGCCUCUGUGAUGUAUUUUCACUUUAUUUUGUGGGCUCCCAGAGAUCUGUGUUUGGGGUUUGUUUUUUUUUCCCCUGGCAGCCAUCACAGAUAACAGAUGAUGCCCAAAACUUCAGCCUAGAUCUCCUUGCAGGAUUGCUGUACAAGCAUACCUCGGAAAUACUGUGGGUCCGAGGCAAGCAUUGCAUAAAGUGAAUUGUAUAUUUUUUCUGGUGAAGGGUUUAAUUUGUAAAAAACACAACAUCUGUGAAGUGCAAUAAAGUGAAGCACAGUAAAACGAGGUAUGCC